UUGUGUUUCAUGCUUAAAUAGUAAAGAAGAGCAAAGAACGUGAGAGAGAGAAAAAAGGCAGAGAGCGUGGACGGAAUCCGCCAAACCUGACACUUAUUUCUGUUUUCAUAGCGAGAAAGGAAUAAGUUGAGAAGCGCACCUUGCAACAUGCCUGUAAUCCCAAUAUCACGCAUGCAAGUUUCCCGCAUCUUAUGACAGACGUCUCUUCCUCCUCUUAUUCUUCCUGCCUGAAAAUCUGUUAACUAAUGUAGAUCUGCUGCAUGAACGUACAGAUUAGCCUUCUUUUCCUCUCUCACCCUCUUCGCUCUUCUUUACCAAAGGAACAUAUUCCGAAAGUGAAAAGACCAUUGUACCUGACGCGGAGAAGCUUUUGUAUUCCAGUGAAAUACAGAUGGUAAAGAAGAGCAAAGAGUGUGACAGAAUAAAAAGAAGCAGGGAGUGUUUUACCUACACCUCUGUUCUGAUAACUGAUGUAGAUCUGCUCCUUGAACCUACAGAUCAGCUUCCAAAGGAAAAAUACUCUGUUCAACUUGAGGGGAAAACCUAUCUUCCUGUUUUCGCGUCAGCCAAGGAGAAUGAGAGACAGGAGGAGGCUCCUGUCAUUCAGAUUUGGUGGAUUCCUGCCUUCUUUUCCUCUCUCACCCUUCGCUGUUCUUCACCUGCUAAAACGUUUGUAUUCCACUGAUAUACAAAAGCCCUGCUUCAGUGCUUCGGUCUUCAUCCACUGAUACACAAAAGCCCUGUUAUAGGGUUUCUAUACUUUCGGUCUGUUAAUACUCUCACAUGUUUCCGGUAAGAAAACUGGUAAGAAAUCUGGGGAUUUAAGUUGGAUAUGUUUAAAGGAACAAUAUUUACAUUUAAUCUGAAUCUUUUCCAUGUGUUUCAUUUGUGGAUAUGUAUAAGUUUAAUAUUGAAAUCAUGGUGUACAGUUGUGUGGAAUAUUUAUUGGAAUUGUGUAUUCAUUUUAGUUUUAGUAAAAGAUAUUAUGAUAUGGGAUAAAAUAAAUAGAGAGAAUGUAUUUUUUUGGGAUCAUUUCUUUGGAUGUUCACACAUCAGGAUUUUUAUGGGAUUAUAAUUAAAAAUAGCUGAAGCAGUGGAAUCAGUAAUUCCAGAUGUAUUGUGACGGUACAAGAAAAAAAUAUCUCAAGCAGUGUAUUCAACAAGGGUGUAUAUCUCAAUCAUAAGAAACAUUUUAUAAACCUAGGAUCAAUUUGCAUAGAAAUUUAUAAUUGAUAUAACCAACUUAUUAUUUUUAUUGCUUUCCAUAUAAGCAUGUAAGCAGUGAACUCAUUUGAUCUGCUACCUAUCUUCCCUUGAUAUCUGAUAAUCAAAGUACUGGUUACAAAACCAAGAUAUAGAUCAACUCAAAGAACUAUUAAAAACUAGAAAUGUUAAUCCGAGAAGAGGGAACGACUCGUUAAUUUGGGCUUCCUCCAAAACAGGGCUCUACAAUCCUAGAGAUGGUUACAGAGUACUGGUUAAUAAUGCUGCUCAAGAUCAAUUGGAUUUCCCUAAGAAGUUGUUUUGGAGCUCUAAAGUUAUCCCUAAGGCAGGGAUCUUUGCAUGGCUAGCUUAUCAAAAAAAAAAUUUAACUGCAGAAAAAUUCACAAAAAUGGGGUUUGCAGGACCCUCUAGAUGCAUCAUGUGCAAAGCUCAAUCAGAGACAGUGGACCAUCUACUACUUUCCUAUCCCCUUGCGUUCAAAUGUUGGAGAUGGCUCUGUGCUAAACUUGGUCUGGUUUUAGCCCUCCCAAAUGACAUCAAGUCCCUGUUUCAAAGCUGGCCUAUCCCAUCCAAGGAAUCCACCCUGAGUUCUAUCUUGGAAUUGUCCCCUUCUUGUCUAGUCUGGGAAAUAUGGAAGGAGAGGAAUCACAGACUUUUUGACAACAAAUCCAGAAGAAUAGAAUCAAUCUUGAACUCAAUUGAAUCGAUUAUUGUGGAUUCAGUUAACUGCAAGUUAGCCUUCUCUUUGGGUCUGCCGAAAGUUUUCUCAUCUUGGGAUGAAAGUAUAUGGAAAAACUGGCAUGGGAUCAGGAUUUCCCCCUCUUUUGGGCAAAAAGACAAUAGGAGAAAGACUGCUAUUUGGUCUUCCUCCAAAGCCUGGCUGGAUAAAACUAAAUUUUGAUGGCGCCUCGAGAGGCAACUCGGGCCCUUCAGGCAUAGGAUAUGUAAUCAGGGAUCACAUAGGAGCAAUCCUUGGGAAAAUGGCAAAGCCUAUCCCUCCAGACACAAACAACAUAGCUGAGUUCAAAGCUCUACAACUUGGACUAAGAGAUUGUAUCAACCAUGGUUUUAAUAACAUCUUAGUGGAGGGCGACUCAGAGAUUGCAAUAAAUGCCAUCAAGAGGAAAAUCACUCCAAAUUGGAGGCUGCAGGGAAUUCUAGAAAGCAUAGUCGCAAGCCUAGACAAGAUCGACAAUUAUGAAGCUAAGCAUAUCUACAGAGAAGCAAACUCAGAGGCAGAUGCUCUUUCGAAAUUAGCCGCUCAAGGAUCUUUUCUCCAAGGUUGGGAUCAGGAGUAUCCUUAUGUUUUUCAUUCAGACCAUUGCCAUUGACAUGCUAGGGUCCCUGAGGUUCUCCCAGACGCGAGAUUCCCUUCAGGAUCUUGCAGUAGUCCCUUUUCAUUUUUCUACACGGUUAACUUUAAACUUAACUUUGGCGGCUAAGCUUAACGGUCAUAUCAAUUCAAAUUUUUUCCUACCUCUCUUGGGAGGGUGGGCCCGCAGUUAAGCAUGUCAUCUAAGCCGUAGUCAUGACCUAUGGAUCGCAUUUGUUUUCUGCAUUCCACGUUCAUUCCCUUCUCUCUGCUUUUCAUCUUGGAGUCCUCUCUUUCUUUAUUGGUCACCCGGCUUCGCCCCUCAUGGCAUCCGACCCUCCUUUUGGCUUCAUCAUGAGUGUGUAUCCCAAACCCACUUGCUGUUUUGGAGCAGACACUCCAAUCUCUCUCUCGGCGUCUACGCGCCAAGUUUCUUUCAGGAAAAUCACAGACUUAAGGCUCAAGCGUCUCCUCCUCUUCUCGGAUUUUCCCCUCAUUUUGGCCAUGAAGAUGAUCUUGGGCAGUGGUCACCUCAACAGAGAUGAAUAUCCUCGGGACAACACCAACAUUUCCUCAAGGUUCGUUGCCUCCCUGCUUGACCUAAAGUUCGCCAAGCAGGCAGUCUGGUCCCUCACCAAGAAGCUCUUCUCGAAGGAAGCCACUCAAGAGCUCCAGGAAAUUCUAAACAAAGCAAUUCAUGAUUCUGGGGCCUCUUGGCCAGGGGAUAGAAUCCUCUUCAACGCUCAUGGAGAACUGAUUAAGUAUUAUCCCUUCCUGUUUGACUUGAAAGGGAAGGACCUGGAUAGGCACAGAGUUUUUGCGGGUGUUGGUCUUGGCUAUCUCAAAUGGCGGUUUCUGGGAGAGAACUCAGACGACCUUGGAAGGGAGGAGGAUCUUAUUCAGUUUGCAAGACUCAACUGUAUUCUACCUUCGAAACCAGAAGAUGAAAACCCUCAUUUGGAACAGGCUAGUAGGGGUUACCGUGGGACUACCUUCGAAACCAGAAGAUGAAAACCCUCAUUUGGAACAGGCUAGUAGGGGUCGCUGUGGGACUGGAAUUGGCCGUGAUAGAGGUCGCCCUCCGACCAGAGGACGCGGUCGAGCGAGGAAGGAGUACCCGUCAUCUGAAGCUCAACAGGAAAUUGCAAGCUAGGCCCCUCUAGCUCCCUUAUGUUUUUUAUCAUGUCUCUCGAGCAGUUUUUUGUUUACUUCGUUAUAAUCUCUGUAAACAGGGCAGUAAGCUUCUGUCAUUUAGACUUAAUCUCUUGUUUUUUAAGGGUUUUCUCAGACUUUCAUAUGGAGUGUUUGCUUGUAUUCCUUCUCUCCUAAAAGAAGGAAUUGGAUGCAUUUUUUGGGACACUGCUAAAACUAUUGCUCUGUAAAUUCUAUAUAUUCUUAAUAUAAUCUGGCUCUGUCUUUACCGAUCAAAAAAAAAAGUUAGAUCGAAAAAUGACAAAUGACAGAUUUGUCAUCCAUUGUGCAUAUUUCAUAUAAUGAUCAAAACGGUAGGUGUAGCUUACACGGAACCAUAAAUCGAGGUGAAUCUUGAAGCCAUAUGUUUUGAAAACAAAAAAUCAGUUUUGAAAAUGUGAGAAAAAUCAUGGUUACCCAUUUAGGAUCAGUUUUGAAAAUGUGAGAAAAAUCAUGGUUAGCCAUUUAGGUUAGAUAAAGUUUAUGUUCUGAACAUCAUCCUGUGCUUUGAUCAGACUGUAAUUAUUUGACAGAUAGGACUAAUUCUUUUGGAUGAAAACUGGACUGGUAUUAAGCAAGAUAUUAAGCCUAAAGAAUAUUGGUCAAUUCAAAUUAAAAGGGAAAUAAACUGGUCAAUUCAAAUUAAAAGGGAAAUAAACUGGUCAAUUCAAAUUAAACUGGACUGGACUUUGGCAAUGAUUAAUUAAAAGGGAAAUAAAAGAUAGGAAACCAAAAGGCGACGGGCACACAUUCAAAAAUUCAAAUUAAACUGGACUGGACUUUGGCAAUGAUUAAUUAAAAGGGAAAUAAAAGAUAUGGCAAUGAUUAAUUAAAAGGGAAAUAAAAGAUAGGAAACCAAAAGGCGACGGGCACACAUUCAAUUCAAAUUGUGCCUUCUGUGGGCCAAGCUGACGUCUACCUCUGGGCUUCCACUUUUUCAUAACUAAACGAAGCACACAUACGUGCACAAAUGCGUGCUAAAUAUUUUGUGCCGAAUUCCCCGAUGCAUGAACAAAUUUUUAAUAACCAUUUUGUGUUGCAAGUUUUAUUAAGUGUCGUCAUAUGUUAUUUUGACGAUUAGAAAUUACCACUAGAACAUAUUCUGAAUAUUUUGGCCUGGUGGAUCGUUAAUGCUAUUCAUUUCAAAUGUCAACUCAGAAUGACUGAAAUAUUCAUGAUUUGGUGGAAAUUUGUUUAUGUCCUUUAUUAAUCUCAUUUAUCAGACCAAAUAUAAAGUCUCCUUUAUCAGACCAAACAUAAAGUAUCAUAUAACAUAUCUAAUAUGUCUUACCUUGUAUUUAAAGCAUGUUUAAUUUGUAUGUAUCAGGAUUCAUAUAUGGAAUGCUAUUUCCUAUGUCUAAGUUAAUGUUUCCAAGUUAUAUGAAUGGUGACACAAUAAAAAUGGAAGAAUACCUCCAUGGUCGAAGUACACCAGCUCAACCUUUCACGCCCAGUAAGGUCAAGUGAAUCCACAUCGUCACCUUUAUAAAUAAAAAUAAUAAUAUGACUUGUAAUGUUCUUCAGAUCAAUCUGGGUUGUCAGACCUAUCAAUGUGUAUCACUCUAUUUUGACAUUAAAAUCAGAAUGCAGUAUAUCAUUGUCAUAAUUUUUAGAGGAAUUGUCAACUUUUUUAGUUAGGACAGGUUUCCGGAUAGAGAUUAGCUCGUUCUCAGUUAAAAAAAAUAAUCAUUUGAUAUCAGUAUUUAUCUUCAAAAUUCUUUGAGGACGAGGGAGCCAUUGACCCAUCCUAUCAAUAAAUAUUCUUUGAGGACGAGGGAGCCAUUGACCUAUCCUAUCAAUCAUCUACUUAGACUGCCUACUGUUAGUCUACCUAAAUGCACCUUGUGUUUUAAUAAUUUGCAGUCAAAUGACUUACAAAAAAUUGGGAUCAUGAUCUCUUGGAUGAUAGCUUGGUAAGCUGAUUUUAUAAUGUGGAAAUUUCAUGUGUAACACAUUUAUAAUUGAUUAAUAAAUCAAAUUAAUUUAAAUAUUUGUGAUUGGAAAUAAAAAGAUUAAUGAUAACAACAAUGUCUUACAAUAAAAGAGUUAAAAGAGUAAUGUAGUAAUGAAAUGUAAGACAUUAAAAGAGUUAAAAGAGUAAUGAAAUGUUAGUGUUCAUAAAAUCUUCUACAUACCAAUUAGUAACUCCAAUAAAAAAAAUUACUUCUAAAUUUUAAAAUAUAAUAUAAAACAAAACAUGUAUAAAACCAAAGUCAUAUUAAACACAGGAAAUCACACCACUUGUGUGAUAGUGGUUAGAUGUGUUUCAUGCUUAAAUGAUAAAGGAGAGCAAAGAACGUGAGAGAGAAGAAAAGGCAGAGAGGAUGGAAUCCACCAAACCUGACACUUGUUUCUGUUUUCACCGAGAGAAUAGAAUACGUGGAGAAGUGCACCUUGCAACAUGGCGUCUAAUCCCAAUAUCACGCACGCAAGUUUCCAUGCCAGACAUUCUCCUCCUCCUCUUAUUCUCCUUGCCUGUGCCUCUGUUCUGUUAAUUGAUGUAGGUCUGCUCCUUGAACCUACAGAUUAGCCUUCUUUUCCUCUCUCACACUCUUCGCUCUUCUUUAUCAAAGGAACUUAUUCCGAAACUCUUCGCUCAUCUUUAUCAAAGGAACUUAUUCCGAAAGUGAAAAGACCGCUGUAAGUGAAGCAGACAAGCUUUUGUAUUCCAGUGAAAUACAGCUGGUAAAGAAGAGCAAAGAGUGAGAGAGUAAAAAAGGAGGGUGUGUCUUACCUACACCUCUAUUUUGAUAACUGAAGUAGAUUUGCUCCAUGACCCUACAGAUUAGCCUCCAAAGGAAAAAUACUCUGUUCAACUUGAGGGGAAAACCUAUUUUCCUGUUUUCCCGUCAGAUCUUGUUUUUCCAACCUGCUCUGCCUUAGACAGAUCCGAGCCUUGGUUUUACAAGCAUCAGUAAAUGAGCUUGAUAAGUUGAUUCGUGAGGGUUUUAGCAUUUAGGAAAAAAAAAUCCUUUCAAAAAAUUUGUGCCCAUCAUGACUGAAAUUGCGUUUAAACUUUUUUAUGCCGUUUGAAUUCAAUUAUUAUUUGAUGCUAUGAAUUCGUAGUGCAGCCAAGGAGAAUGAGAGAGAGGAGGAGGCUUCUGUCAUUAAACGUUGGAAACUUGAAUGCUUGAUAUUGGGAUUAGAUUUCAUAUGUAAGCUACGUUUCCCAACUCAUUCAGAUUUGGUGGAUUCUUGCCUUCUUAUCCUCUCUCAUACUGUUUGCUUUUUUUCACCUGCUAAAACCUUUGUAUUCCGCUGAAAUACAAAAGCUCUCCUUCAGUGCUUGGUCUUCAUCUUUGUUAUAGGGUUUUAGCACUUUCGAUGUGUUAAAACUCUCACAUGUUUCGGUUAACAUCUAAGUUCUGUAGCUCCGUUAAUAGAUUUGAUCUUCAGAAAAUCAAUUAUAAUGAAAAUCACAACUGAUCAUUCUCAAUCCGUUUCGUUUUAUAAGCUGUUCAGAUUGAUGAUUGGGCUGUGUGUGUUGACUGAUUCUAAUUGUGUUUUUGUCUUACGCAGUUCGGAAAACUGUUAAGAAAUCUGGGGAUUAAAGUUGGAUAUGUUUAAAGCAAUAAUAUUUAGAAUUAAUUUGAAUUUUUUUUCCAUGUU